rnacentral:lncRNA from 1 species
UGUAGCAAAAUGCUUGCAUUUCUAGCUCCAACAGUGCUGUAAUACCUAGCUAAAUGCUUGUGUUUCUAGCUCCAACAGUGCAGUAAUACCUAGCUAAAUGCUUGUGUUUCUAGCUCCAACAGUGCAGUAAUACCUAGCUAAAUGUUUGUGUUUCUAGCUAUAACAGUACUGUAAUACCUAGCUAAAUGCUUGUUUCUAGCUCCAACAGUACUGUAAUACCUAGCUAAAUGCUUGUGUUUCGGGCUCCAACAGUACUGUAAUACCUAGCUAAAUGCUUGUUUCUAGCUCCAACAGUACUGUAAUACCUAGCUAAAUGCUUGUGUUUCUAGCUCCAACAGUAAUACCUAGCUAAAUGCUUGUGUUUCUAGCUCCAACAGUAAUACCUAGCUAAAUGCUUGUGUUUCGAGCUCCAACAGUACUGUAAUACCUAGCUAAAUGCUUGUGUUUCGAGCUCCAACAGUAAUACCUAGCUAAAUGCUUAUGUUUCUAGCUCCAACAGUACAGUAAUACCUAGCUAAAUGCUUGUGUUUCUAGCUAUAACAGUACUGUAAUACCUAGUUAAAUGCUUGUGUUUCGAGCUCCAACAGUACUGUAAUACCUAGCUAAAUGCUUGUGUUUCGAGCUCCAACAGUACUGUAAUACCUAGCUAAAUGCUUGUGUUUUGAGCUCCAACAGUAAUACCUAGCUAAAUGCUUAUGUUUCUAGCUCCAACAGUACAGUAAUACCUAUCUAAAUGCUUGUGUUUCGAGCUCCAACAGUAAUACCUAGCUAAAUGCUUAUGUUUCUAGCUCCAACAGUACAGUAAUACCUAGCUAAAUGUUUGUGUUUCUAGCUAUAACAGUACUGUAAUACCUAGCUAAAUGCUUGUUUCUAGCUCCAACAGUACUGUAAUACCUAGCUAAAUGCUUGUGUUUCGAGCUCCAACAGUACUGUAAUACCUAGCUAAAUGCUUGUUUCUAGCUCCAACAGUACUGUAAUACCUAGCUAAAUGCUUGUGUUUCGAGCUCCAACAGUACUGUAAUACCUAGCUAAAUGCUUGUGUUUCGAGCUCCAACAGUAAUACCUAGCUAAAUGCUUAUGUUUCUAGCUCCAACAGUACAGUAAUACCUAGCUAAAUGCUUGUGUUUCUAGCUAUAACAGUACUGUAAUACCUAGUUAAAUGCUUGUGUUUCGAGCUCCAACAGUACUGUAAUACCUAGCUAAAUGCUUGUGUUUCGAGCUCCAACAGUACUGUAAUACCUAGCUAAAUGCUUGUGUUUUGAGCUCCAACAGUAAUACCUAGCUAAAUGCUUAUGUUUCUAGCUCCAACAGUACAGUAAUACCUAUCUAAAUGCUUGUGUUUCGAGCUCCAACAGUAAUACCUAGCUAAAUGCUUAUGUUUCUAGCUCCAACAGUACAGUAAUACCUAGCUAAAUGCUUGUGUUUCUAGCUAUAACAGUACUGUAAUACCUAGCUAAAUGCUUGUGUUUCUAGCUCCAACAGUAAUACCUAGUUAAAUGCUUGUGUUUCUUGCUCCAACAGUACUUAAUACCUAGCUAAAUGCUUGUGUUUCUAGCUCCAACAGUAAUACCUAGCUAAAUGCUUGUGUUUCUUGCUCCAACAGUACUGUAAUACCUAGCUAAAUGCUUGUGUUUCUAGCUCCAACAGUAAUACCUAGUUAAAUGCUUGUGUUUCUUGCUCCAACAGUACUGUAAUACCUAGCUAAAUGCUUGUGUUUCUAGCUCCAACAGUAAUACCUAGCUAAAUGCUUGUGUUUCUACCUCCAACAGUAAUACCUAGCUAAAUUCUUGUGUUUCUAGCUCCAACAGUAAUACCUAGCUAAAUGCUUGUGUUUCUAGCUCCAACAGUAAUACCUAGCUAAAUGCUUGUGUUUCUUGCUCCAACAGUGCUGUAAUACCUAGCUAAAUGCUUGUGUUUCUUGCUCCAACAGUACUGUAAUACCUACCUAAAUGCUUGUGUUUCUAGCUCCAACAGUAAUACCUAUCUAAAUGCUUGUGUAGCGGGCUGUUCACUUUUUACAUUCUAUGAUAUUACAUGAUCCAUAAAAAGUGGUGGAGGCACGACACUCUUCUCCAUUAAAACAUUUUAUUAUGAAUUAAUGAAUAAAAUAAUAUAUAAUCUUCAACAUAUGGGAACAAUCCCUCAAACACACUGCAGUGUCCCUGUGUACCUGUAUCUUUGCUCAGAGAUACAGUAUAUAGACUAUAUAUUACGGUCCAAUGUUGAGAUGAGGUUAAAAUGACAUGGUGCAAGUGAUCAAUGACGUUCGAGAUUCUGCACAGAUUAUUACAGCAAUUGUGAAGAUCUCCACAGACCUAUUGUGAACAUGCAGACUUUAUAUGAUUACAUAAGACAAUAUAUAGUUACAAUAACCUCAAUGUGGCCAUGGAUGUGUUACUCAUUUUAAGGUUGAAUGUUACCUCAACUUUAAUGUAACUUAACUUCAAGCUAUUUACUUUAUUACAAAAGUAAUAUUGAACUUUAUUACAAAAGUAAUAUUGAACUAUCUUUGGUUGACAACCAAAGAUAAUUUAUCUUCUGCUUGUAUAGUUCCAUUUGUGCCACUGACUUAGUUUGCCUUUAAUUCCAUUUAGUCUACAAUUUAAUAAUUGAUAUGCUGAAUUCACACCUCCAUCUCAACCAAAAAUGUAAGUUAAUGAAUAGGAGUAAAUCAAAUGAAACUUUAUUUAAAGUUUGACUUGAUUUAGUCCUAUUCUUUUAGUUAGAUUUUUGGUUAAGGUGGCGACUUUAG